ACUCAAAUGAAUUGACGGGGACCCGCACAAGCAGUGGAGCAUGUGGUUUAAUUCGAUGCAACGCGAAGAACCUUACCCAGACUUGACAUGCAGUGGAAGUUAGUAGAGAUAUUAACGCCCUUCGGGGCCGCUGCACAGGUGCUGCAUGGCUGUCGUCAGCUCGUGCCGUGAGGUGUUGGGUUAAGUCCCGCAACGAGCGCAACCCUUAUCGUUAGUUGCCAACAGGUAAUGCUGGGAACUCUAGCGAGACUGCCUGGGUUAACCAGGAGGAAGGUGAGGAUGACGUCAAGUCCGCAUGGCCCUUAUGUCUGGGGCUACACACGUGCUACAAUGGUCGGUACAGAAGGCAGCGAAACCGCGAGGUGAAGCAAAUCCAACAAAGCCGGCCCCAGUUCAGAUUGUAGUCUGCAACUCGACUACAUGAAGAUGGAAUUGCUAGUAAUGGCGAGUCAGCAACAUCGCCGUGAAUACGUUCCCGGGUCUUGCACACACCGCCCGU
rnacentral:rRNA from 1 species